UAUUAUAGUAACAUGGAAUUGUAGAAGCUAUGUUAUUAUUAAUAUUAUAGUAACAUGGGAUUCUAGAAGCUGUUAUUAUUAUUAUUAUUAUUCACCCUCGGUCUGGCACACAGCCCCCCUUACAGUCCCAUUAUUCCAAUCCCUUACCAUCUCUGCCCAGCAUUACAGAUAAAUCCAAUGAGGAUAACUCGGCUCCCGGUGAGGGUUCCCUGCUCGCGCACACUGGGGCCCCUGGGAUCCCGGGGCCCAGCUUGGCCUCUCACUUCCUCCUCACUCCGCCAUCUUGAGCGAGUCUCUGGCCUCCGAGAGCUCGCAUGACGCAGAGGGCUAGCCACGCCCCCGCUGGGAAGGUCAAUGGGCGGGGUCAGGACAGAGAGCAGGGCUUCAGU